AGUAAAUAGAUACCCAGGUAGUCCACGCCGUAAACGAUGAAUACUAGGUGUAGGGGUUGUCAUGACCUCUGUGCCGCCGCAAAAACGCAUUAAGUAUUCCGCCUGGGGAGUACGGUCGCAAGAUUAAAACUCAAAGGAAUUGACGGGGGCCCGGCACAAGCAGCGGAGCAUGUGGUUUAAUUUCGAAGCAACGCGAAGAACCUUACCUAGACUUGACAUCUCCUGAAUUACUCUGUAAUGGAGGAAGCCCUUUGGGGUCGAGGAAGACAGGUGGUGCAUGGUUGUCGUCAGCUCGUGUCGUGAGAUGUUGGGUUAAGUCCCGCAACGAGCGCAACCCUUAUUGUUAGUUGCUACCAUUAAGUUUGAGCACUCUAGCGAGACUGCCCGGGUUAACCGAGAGGAAGGUGGGGAUGACGUCAAAUCAUCAUGCCCCUUAUGUCUAGGGCUACACACGUGCUACAAUGGCUGGUACAGAGAGAUGCUAAACCGCGAGGUGGAGCCAAAACUUUAAAACCAGUCUCAGUUCGGAUUGUAGGCUGAAACGUCGCC
rnacentral:rRNA from 1 species